GUCAACACACUUGUAACACUCUGUAUAGUUACAGAUAAAACUGCCAAUUGUUUUACUCAAAAUGUUCAGUAUUAAUCAUAAUAUGGUUCUUGUGGUUCUAGUAAUAAGCAACCUGAUUGGGUUCUAUUGUAUGGUCAAACUAAUCACGAUACCUCUGCGAAUGAAUGAUUUCGAUACUUACCAAGCCAACUUGGAAAAUGCAGGAAAACAGAAUAAAAUAUAAAGAAAACAAAAGUAAUAAAUCAUAGGUUUAAGUAAUAAGAACGACGCAUAAAUCAAUUUAAAAAAAGAAACUUGAGUUACUGUGGAAAAAAUUAGAAUUUGCAAUGAAUUUAAUAUCAUAAUAAAAAUAA